GUCGAGCGCAGGAAGCAAGCUGAUCCCCUUCGGGGGUGACGCUUGUGGAAUGAGCGGCGGACGGGUGAGUAACACGUGGGCAACCUGCCUGUAAGACUGGGAUAACCCCGGGAAACCGGGGCUAAUACCGGAUAAUACUUUCUUUUGCAUAAAGGAAAGUUGAAAGGCGGCUUCGGCUGUCACUUACAGAUGGGCCCGCGGCGCACUAGCUAGUUGGUGAGGUAACGGCUCACCAAGGCGACGAUGCGUAGCCGACCUGAGAGGGUGAUCGGCCACACUGGGACUGAGACACGGCCCAGACUCCUACGGGAGGCAGCAGUAGGGAAUCUUCCGCAAUGGACGAAAGUCUGACGGAGCAACGCCGCGUGAGUGAUGAAGGUUUUCGGAUCGUAAAACUCUGUUGUUAGGGAAGAACAAGUUGGGUAGUAACUGACCCAACCUUGACGGUACCUAACCAGAAAGCCACGGCUAACUACGUGCCAGCAGCCGCGGUAAUACGUAGGUGGCAAGCGUUGUCCGGAAUUAUUGGGCGUAAAGCGCUCGCAGGCGGUCCUUUAAGUCUGAUGUGAAAUCUCGCGGCUCAACCGCGAACGGUCAUUGGAAACUGGAGGACUUGAGUACAGAAGAGGAGAGUGGAAUUCCACGUGUAGCGGUGAAAUGCGUAGAGAUGUGGAGGAACACCAGUGGCGAAGGCGACUCUCUGGUCUGUAACUGACGCUGAGGAGCGGAAGCGUGGG
rnacentral:rRNA from 1 species